GCACUUGAGAAGAAUGUGUGUCCUGCUGCUUUUGGGUGUAGAGUUCUGUAGAUGUCUGUUAGGUCCAUUUGUUCUAAUGUGUGUUUCAGUGCCUCUGUGUCCUUACUUAUUUUCUGUCUGGUUCACCAAGUGUAACUUAAAGUCAACUUCUAACUGCAGUUCUGCCAGUUAAUGCUUUACAAAUGUGAGGCUGUUUUGCUGAUUUUAUAUAUACUUAUGAUUAUUCUAUCUUACUGCUCCAUUUUUUAAAAUUAUAUAAAACUUCUUUUCUUUUGUCCUUCAUGAACUUUUAUUUAAACCUUAACUUCUAUUUUGCUGUGUAUUGAGAUUGUUGCCCAACUUUCUUUUGGAUCAUAUUUGCCAUCUAGUGAAUCUUUACACUUUUUAAAAUUUCAACCUUUCUGUGUCUUCCUGCUUGUCUUGCUAAUUGGCUUCAGCCCUGGGCAAGUUCACUAUGAAUUCAAUGUGACCAAAGAAAUUGACAGCAAAAUGUUCUUUGGGGUGAAAAGGUUUAUUACCCGCUUCUUCUCCCGUUGGUAGGUCAAGCACUAGUGUCUUGGCCUCCACCCAGAGCACUGGGCCAGCUCUCUAUAUAGCACAAUAAUAGGUAUUGCCUAAAGGUGUGGAAGCGGCAGCCCAGCAACAGGCCGGUUACAUCAUGAGGUGGUUUAAGUUCAGUGAGGACCCUGGCCAUAGGAACCAUGACUUCCCCACACUGCUUUAAGUAUAUUUAUUGUAAAUAACACAUGGUUUGGUCUUUCUGUUUCCUUCAUUAUGAGAGCCUCUGUCUUUUAAUUGGUAACUGCUGACAUAUUAGGCUUAUUUUUUCAACUCAUUUCACACUUUGUAUUUAUUGUUUAUUAUUUCUUCCCUUUUCUCACUUUUCAUUAAAAGUUAUAUAUAGUGAUUCUCUUCUUGAAUGAGGUGUAUACUCAUGUUUACUUACAUUUAUUGAUUUCUUAAACAUUUUAAUAUUUAUACCUUGCUCCCAAAUUCUUUGGCAUACUCUUAUGGCCUUUUGAUUUUCUUUUAAAACAUAUUUUGCUUCCAGGUUUGUUGAGGUAUAUGUGACAAAUAAAAAUUGUAUAUACUUAAGUGGUACAACGUGACUUUUUAAAAGGUGUAAAAUGUGAUGAUUUAAUAUACAUGUACAUUGUAAAAUGAUUGCCUCAAUCAAUUAACACAUCCAUCAUCUGCCCUUUUGAGUUUUUCCUUCUGUAACCCAAGUAAAUACUAAUCCCCUCACCAAAUGGAUAUUAUCUGGAUUUUAAAAUAUGGAGUUAGACACACACACACACACACACACACACACACAUGCACGUACUUACCCCUUUAAUAUGGUCCUGGAUUUGUUGACAAAUCACCCUUAUUCCUACAUUCUUUGUUGUAACUUCUUUAAUUUGACUCUUACUGGAGUACUUCCUCCAAGAUUGUUUUUAAUAUUGGUCUUUGGGUUCUAAGGCAUUGUGUGCAUAAGACUGUAUUUAUUAUGCCAUCUUAUUUGAAUAGCAAUUUAGAUGUAUAUAAAGUUCUAGGUUCAAGCUUAUAUUCUUUCACUAAUAGAACUAUUAUUUUAUUUUCUUCUUGCAUCCACAGAUGCUGCUGAAGAAUCUUAUGUUGAUCUAAUUCUUACUCUGUGAUAGAUGAUCUGUUCUUUCUUUUGUGAGCUUUUGGCAUAUUUCUGUGUCUUAUUAUAAUGAGCCUGGCUGUGGAAUUUUUCUUAUUGUUCCUAUUCUGUACUCUUUGAGCACUUUAUACUGAGGUCUUUUAUCUUUCUGUAAUAUUGGUAAAUUCACUACUCAUUACUUCCUCGAAUAUUCUCUCUCUCUCACUUGUUUCUGUCCUCCGUUUUGUGGACUCUUAUGUUUGUGAUGUUUCUAGUCUUUCCCGCCCUCUGCAGGGAGGCUUCUCUCUUUACGUAGACCUCGCUGGUUAUCCUUUAGCUCUGUACAUCCUGCUGCUUCUCCCAUCCCCGGUAUUUGUCACUUAUGCUGCUAACACUUUUAAUAGCUAAUAUUACCUCUGUUUUUUUGAAUUAUGGGUUUUGCUUUAUGUUGUUGAUGAUCUUUUAAGUGUAUUUACCAUCUUAUUUUAAGUUCCUGAUUCAUCUUUUUCACUAUUCUGUGUGAUAGUGUAUGGUGUUCAAUUUGUUAUCUGUGUUUCGCAGCGUUUUUAGUCCUUCGGUGUCUAAUUCUGUGGGUCUGUGAGCUCAGGUCUCCAUGAAGACAACAGCCGUUUGUGAGGUAAUAUGUAACGGGAGAGAGAGGAGUCAGGCCCUGACGGUCUGUGUCCUCCCAGGUCCAGCCUGGAUCUGGUAAAGAAGCACUGUGGCUCUCCCUGUUUGCAGUUACUCUAUCAGCCAGCUUUUAGGAAAAGCACAGCUGGUUGUAAUCUGUGUUUGCAAUCCACCAGCUGAGAGGUGGCAAGAAUGGAGAAGUGAAUAUCCCAAAGCCCUCACCUAGUUUUAUCUGUUUCGGGACCUACACGGCGCUAAUGCUGCUCUGAUUCCUGUUCCUGUGUGAAGGGGAGGCAAAGAUGGACCCAAAGAAGUGAAGGAGAAACUGGAAGCUUUAUUUCUGGUUCUCCAAGGACAGAGUGGCAGGUGACACUCAACAGCUCACAAGCUUCCUGAUCCCCAGAGUCCUGCCCAUGUGGCCUGGACUAAUGGACUGCCAUGCCCGUGCCUGGUGCCGAGUGGGAUGAUGAGUGGGAAUUCUGAUCUGUCUAUGCUCCAGGGAUAGGAGAGAACGGGAACUUGGAGAUUCAUGACGUAAGGAGCUCGUGAGAAGGCACCACUGUGAACCAGGAAGGGGUCUCUCACCAGGAGACCAUGCUGGCACCUUGACUUGGACUUUUCAGUCUCUGGAACUGUGGGAAAUAAAUUUCUGUCUACAGGCUGCUCUUUCUCUGGUGUUUUGUUAUAGCAGCUCAAAUGGACAAAAAGCUUUCCCAGUUAAAAGGAGUAGACAGAGUUCUCCAGAGGCUACAGCGACAUCUGAUGACAUCAUUUCUCUAACAGAUGGAUUGUUGGCUUUAAAAAGGAGGUUAGAAGACCAGUUCUCAACCUAUGUCUAUGGUGCCUGUGUCUGAAAAACAUGAAACUGAUCAGCACGUUCUCUAAUUCAUGGAAAGGAAGAAUAUAUUUCAAAGAAACUGGGAAAACUUGUAAAUAUGAAAAAGAAUGUCAAAAGGUAUCUUUCCUUCAGCUUUACAUAUGUUAAUAAUUUAUCUUUUUGUGCCUUAGACAAAAGAACAUUUUCAAAAACGAAUGUGGUUCUAGUUAUGCUGCACCAUAAUUUGGGAUCCAAUCAUUCAGGGUUUAAAGAAAAGGAAUGAAAUAUUUUACAUGUAGAGCUGACCCUGACAAACUCUUAGAAAGCUUUCACGGGGUAAGUUAUCAAGUCGCGUCAGCCAGAGGAGCUUACCCAAUAGAAUAGCAGAGAGACGAAUCAAGCCCUGUACAAUGGCAUUGCCGAACACCUGCUGGAUGAAAAAUCAGCAUAAGGAGGCCUAGCACUGCCACUUCCCAAUGAUGCAGUAACUUAUCAAAUUAAAAAUUCAACUGCAAUCAUAAAAGACUGAGUUAAUAUCUCAUGUGAAAAAUUGUGCCUUUGUCUUACCAAUGGACUAAUCUGUAGAUGUGCAUGGACGUGCUGUUUUGCUCACACUUAUUUUGUCCCCAGCACCAACUAAUCAUUGCUUUGUAACAAACACAGGGGUGCUGAAACAUUGACAGUAUUGUAUAAUCUUUUUUGAAUCUGAUGGUUUCUUCCUCAACAACCGUGUUGAGAUUUGCACUGAUGGAGCAAAACACGUAGUGGGUAAUAACCUUGAUAUGCUUAACACAAAUCAAGAUAAUGGUAUCAAGCUGUAUUAAUAGUCAUUGUAUUCUUUACCACCACAUUCAGUUUUCAAAAAGGUGGCUUCACUAGAGGAUGUUCUUGAUCAAUCAGUAAAAAUUAUUUUUGUUAAAACUCAGCUGUUGAGUCCGUUAAAAAAUUAGUCUGUGUGAUGAACUGAGAAGGGCCCGUGAAGCACCACACACAGUGGUUGUCUCUAGGAAAAACACUUUGAAUCGCAAGCUGAACUAGCUAGUUUUUUCAUGAAACACAUUUUUCACUUGGAAAAACAAACAAAUGACAGAAAACUGGUUAUUCACACUUGCGUGUUUGGCAGCCAUUUUCUUCAAAAUGAGCACAGUAAGCCUGUCCCUCCAGGAAAAUAACUAAUCAUGUCUGUGGCCAACAACAAAAUUGAAGCUCUCACCUGAAAAUUAGAACUCUGGGAAGCCUGCGUCUGCUGCUGUGGGACACUUAAAAACUUUUCUGAUGAGAUCAACAACAAUGUUAAUGAAUGUGAUCUUUUGAUACUGUAUAAGUUGUGUUACUAUUUCAAAUAUCUGCCUAACUGUGAACUGAUGUUUUCUAAAGACCCAUGCAUGACACUGCAGAAUCAUGCAUGCACAAAAGAUCCUCUCAAAGUGCAAGGCUGGCCAAUAGAUUUCAAUAACUUCCUGUCAUUUAUUCCCUGAACCAGAAAGUAUAGACUCAUUCUACAUUCUUACAACUCCCUUUCCCUCAGCUCUUCAUUUUAUUACUCAAAACUUUAGUGAAAUUUCACCUCCCAGACAGCUGUAAGUAUAUUCUUUCCUCUUCAUUACUAUUCUAAUGCCUUCACCCAGUACUUUGGUGAUUUUACUUGUUCUAUAAUAAAUGUCAGAUCUCUCAACAGAGCAUGCCAGGCAUUUCUUGUUCUUGCCACUGCCCACUUCUCCCACUUCUGUUUCACUUUAUUCUCCAAUAAGUGGAUCUAAUUAUAACUCUUUAUAGAAAACAUGCUGACUUAUGACUCCCUGCCUUUACAUUCAUGUGCUUUCCUUUGCCUGGAAUGUCCCCCUUCUGCUUAACUGGAAAACUCCAAGUGACAUCCAUCAGAAUUCCAUUCAGAUAUCUCACUUCAGGAAGCUUUUCCUGAGCUGAAUCACAUCAGUCAGGGUUCAUCACUUAAUUUUUCUGGAUUACCUUGUUUUUUAUUUUUUCUAUUGUUGGACUCACUAUUCUGUCAUAUGUUGGCUCUGUGGAAUUCUUGUUACAAAAUUAUCUUUUGGGUUGAGGCUGUUUACCUUUAUUGAGUAAUACUAUAAGAAACAGGUCUGUGAAAUUCUCUUUUGGGUUUCCUAAAACAAUAUAGUUAGGAGGUUGUUCACUUAAUUGUCAAUUUCCUUUUUCAUAGGGACUUGAGAAAUAUAUUUCUGGUCUUAUGUCAGUUACUCUUUGAAUUUGUUUUAUAUGAUCACUGCUUUUAACACCUUUUUGAGUUGGCUGCUGGAAAUUUUUGAGCCAAAAUUGUGGCCCACCUUUAGCAAACCCAAGAUUUCAUGCAGUUAGCCUCAUUUCAGACUCUAGUGAGGCAUCUCGCUUCCUGGGAAGUGAAGUGUGGCAUAGCCGGGUUUUCCAUAUUGGCAGAGAACUGGGAAGCAGUGUGGGAACUACACAGGUGCAGAGCCUGUGGCCCGCGAGGGUCGCUUUUUCUGUCUGCAGUGCAGCUGUUGCCCUCUGGAGGCUGGACAGGUGGGGGACAGUUGGUGCUGGAGAAGCUCAGGGAAGCCAUACGAUUGUGCUUUCUCUUCUAGUAUAUGUUAUUUUUCCCUUGGAAGGGGGUUUUUGGGUAAUUUUCAACUUACCCAAGUUGCUAAUUAUUUUUUCCAUUGUUUGAUAUGAGCCUUUUUUUCCUUCCUGUGUAAAAACCUGGACUAGUUGAGAAGUGGGAAUUGAGGUAUCCAGAGGGUCCAGAACCCCAAACUCCAGCUGUUUUGGUGCAGAAGCUGCACAUUCCUUGAUAAAAGAAAAGGGCCCUGGGAAGAUGCCCAGGUGUACAUUUUCCUCUAGAGGAAAUGCAGAUGGGUUUGAAUGUCUUUACAGUGGGACAUUUAAAGGCCUGGACUCUGCUUUGUGUUGCUCAAGGAUUGGUGUGACUAUACUAUGGCUGUCGGGAAAGGAGCCUCAUUUGGAAGGUGCUUCUAAAUUAGGGUGAGGUCCUCAUCUGCAGGAUAUUAGAAAAUGAAAAACAGUGCCUGUCAGGUUAAUGGAACUCCUGUUUUUAUUGAUUUCAAGAGAUUAUUAUUAAUUUAUAUAAAUCCAAAACAGGAGUCUCAAAUACAUCCAAGGGCAAAAAAAAAUUACAUCAAGAUUCCCAAUUUAAAUGUUCAUAACAUCUAGGAAAAACUCCAAGCUGCGUUAAAAUCAAAGCACAGGAUCUGUGAACCUGGAUUCUACUGUCACCCUGUUUUCAAAAGACUGCAGAGGAAAGUUCCAAGCUGGAACCUACAAGAUUAGAUUAAGUAAGUUAGAGAAAUUAGCCUUCAGGGGACAAAAUCUUUUAAUGAUUUUCUGCCUGGAAAAACUGACUUCCAAAUUUAUAAAAAGUAUAUACUUAUUAUAAAACUUUGGUUGAAAAGUAAAUAUUAUACUCUGACAAAUGUAGGAUGAAACAGAACAAAUCUGUGUAAAAAUAAUUGUUAUUAAUGGUCUUGUUGUCCAGUAUAAAUAUUUUCAGUCCCUAAAAUGUUUUUGAAUGAGAAAAGGGAAAAUUUAAUUCUGGUUUAAUGGCCUCAGUAUCUCCGCUAAGAGUCUCCGCUAAAAAUCAAAGAUAUGCAACUUGACUGUAGACCAAUAAUUAGUGGUCAUAAGAAGACUUAAAAAAUCCCUCUGCAUUAAGAAUUUCAACCAGUACUUGGAGGAUUACUCAGUAAAAUAAAUUCAAGAGAACUUAAUUUUAAUCUAAGUUAAUUUAAUAUUCCUGAUCUGGACAAACACUUCUGUAAAUUAAGUUGUUUUGUGUAUUUUGACUUCAAAAAUAUAUCCCUACUCUGAUUUUACCAUGUAUAAAAUACAAAUGCAAUCAUAGCAGUUUAGUCCAUUUAAAACCAUGCCACCAUUAAAAAAAAAGGUUUAUAUUUUUGAGCAGGUUUAGGUUUACAGAAAAAUUGAGUGAAAAACACAGCCAAUUCCCAUAUGCCCCCUCACCUCCCACCUCCUUUCUUCUAUUAAAAAACCUGGCAUCAGUGUGAUACACUUCUCCAACUGAUGAGCCAGUAUUGAUACAUCAUUAAGUAGAGCAUGUAGUGUAUGUACAUCAGGGUCCCCUCCUGGGGUGCACAUUCUGUGCGUUUUGACAGAUGCAGUCAGGUAUCCACCAUUCAGAAAAGCUUCACUGUGCUAAAAAUAGUGCCCUGAAUUUCACCUAUUCAUCCCGGCCCCCUCUUCCCCUGGCAAUAGCUGAUCUUGUUACUCUCUCCACGGUUUUGCCUUUUUCAGCAAGUCAUAUACUUGGAAUCAUAAAGUUCAUAGCCUUUUCAAAUAGCUGCUUUCACCUAUCACUGUGCAUUUAACUUCCCUCCCUGUCUUUUGGUAGCUUGACAGCUCUCUCUUUUUUAAAUUGUGGAAUAACAUUCUACUAUGUGAAUAGGAAAAAAAUGUUUAUCCAUUUAUCUAUCGAAAAACAUCUUGGUACUUGCAAGUUUUGACCACUUCCCUUUCUUAAAAUUGAAAUGUUAGACUAAAUGGAACAUCCUAAAUUUCAUUUAUUUCCCUUACAGAGAAGGCUAUUUGUUAUUUCUUAAAUUAACAUCUAAGAGUGUGUACAUGCUGUCAUGGUGGUCAGACUGAGAUAGAAUCUACAUAUUCAAUAUUACAGGUGAUGUGGGCUCCUCAGUUAUACCACUUACAGUAUCUUGUAAAAGUUAAGUUGUCAUUUUUCUCUGAAAAAUUCUUAGUAUCAGUGUGACUAUUUUUUCUUUAAUAAUACCCUAAAGUCAUUUCUAAAAUCUCAAACUGCCUUUGGGACCUUGGCCUGGCCAGACUUCAGCCUGGAUUUUUGCUGCACCUGAGCGUGGGUUUCCCUUCUCGGAUGUCUGCUGACACUGUAAUGACUCUCAAGACUGAGUAGACUAUUAUAAAAACAAGAGAGGGAGAAGCUUACAUUUCUAACAGUCCUGCUAAGGACAUUGUAAAAUGUUUAAAUCUGGUUAAUAGCACAACUAAUAUUUUUCUACAGAAUUCAAAGACUCACUCAUAAUAUUCACUGGACUGUUGUAACGAUUCACAAAAGACUUAAAGUUUCUAGAUGCUGAGGCUGCUGCCUGAGUCCACUGAGGAUCAAGGGGGAAUCGCUGUGCUCUGUGGGAGGGCUGGACAGGAUGUGUCGAGCAGCUGGGCAGCUGGAGCGAAACCUCCCUCAGUGUUCAGGACAUGGAACCGGUCUAACUUUAGGGUGUUGAUACUUCUUUGGUUCACUUUAGGGAAAAACAAAACAAAACAAAACAGAACAGAGGUUCCUUCCUGCUUCUACAACUUAUUUCUCUGCUUUACCCACCACGGCCCUGUGUUUGUACCAAUGCUUGUAACAGUCCCCAAGAGCAGCAGUCUUCAAACUGGAUUCCUGUAUUUCUGGGGGUAUAGGAGAACUGUCCAAGGGGUACAUAGGCUAAGAAAGCUUUAAGGGACUCUAAACCUCCAACAUCCACACACACACAUUUUAAAAAGUGAUGUACUUAAUAAAAAUGCUUGUUGUUUCAAGCCACUUUUAAAAAAUGCGAUGUGCCUGUGGCUGCUCUCAGGGUGCUCUUUCCCCACGCUUCCUUCACAGUUACUUUCCUCCCGCUUUACAGAAGAAAGGUGGGCCGCUCACCUAUUACAAAUAUAAUUACGGUGUUCUGACCUGGGAGUGAAAUACUUCUGAGUACCAAAGAAAAGGGCACACCAAGCCUGUGUCCACGAAGCUUCCUUUAAUCACAGCUUUGUGUCCUUGUUUGUCUUGUAUGUCUCUCUCUGUUAAGGGCAAUGAUUCUCAACCAUUUUGCCCCCUGACAGUAUCUGGAGACAUUUUUGGUUGUUAUAACUGAGAGGCUGGGGUUGGGAAUUGGUGUUACUGGCACCUAGUAGGUAGAGGUGGGGGAUGCUGGUAACCGUCCUACAGUGGCCAGGCCAGCCCACCAUGAUGAGGAAUUGUUCAACCCCAAAUGUCAAAAAUGGUCUGGUUGAGUAAACUUGUGUUAAGGGUGACAUGUGGCAUAAGAAACGGGGGAGCUUCAGCCCAUGAUACAACAUUUUGGAUUUAGGUAAUCUCUCAGCAGAGAAGCUGGAAUGCUGAGAAGUUUUCAUCUGAUGACCUUGAUGCGUCCUUUCCUAAUAACUGAAGAAUGAAUGGCUCCUUAGCUUUGGCAGGCAAUGCUGAUGGUCGUGGUUUUUUAAUUUCAUUUAGAGGAUGAACUCAUGUGAAGUUCCAGUUGUUACUUGUUUUAGAAUGAAAAUACUCUUAAAUUUAUAAAAAUCAUGUAAAGCAAUACUAACUUGCUACAGAGCACGCUAAGUACGAACAAAGACCCACUCCCUCAUGUCUCAUCUGUACUCGCUUAUUUUGCAUGAUUUCAAGGCAUCGAAGGCAACAGUCUUGACAUUUAUUUCUGACAGAUCAACAUCAUGUUUUACAGUAAAAUAAACACAUAUUGGGGGUACUUUAAUAUAUGUUUUCCUGAACUUACUCAGACUCAUAGGAGUCUGAAAAAAAAGUUAUAGCUUUUACCAAAUAUUACUGGAUGAUAUGAAUACAUUUUUCUACUUGGGUACAGGUCCCCAAUACACUGUUACUUUUCUGCACAUUUGUUUAUUUUUAUCAUAUACCCCCUGGAUUCAGAAGAAUCCAAUGGAAAUGUUUUGUGGUUCUGCUGUAAAUAAUGCACAUAGCAAUCAAUAAGAGGAUUUUGUAAGCUUAUUUAUACUCAUUGAUAAUCUAAUACCUUCUCUUCAUUUUGCUGAAAUGUUCAUUUCCACUAAGUAGAUUAAACUGGAUUCUUAAAAGCAGAAAUCUACUUAUGUAUGUAUCCAAAACAAAAUGUUCCCAAAUGCAAUGUGGAGGUGAUAUUCUAAAGUUUAGAAAUCCAGGUUCAUUUAUUUGGGAUUAAUUUCUCCUUGGAUGUUGACACACUGUUCUACAUCUGUCAAACACAUAAUUAUAAAAUUAAUCAUUUUCUACAAAGAAACAAAAUCUCUCUCACACACACAAAAACAUACUAGUUUCAAGGGUCCAUCUCUUUGUCAUACUUUGUAGAGGUAAUUCCAGAUGACAUAAAAAAUGGGAAAGAGGUCUUUAUUCAGAACCAAUUGAUUUUUAAUUUCCAAUUUUGUGGGUCUGUGUCUUCCUAACUCGUUUCAUCUAAUUUGAGUUUCACAAACCAGGUAUCUCUAAGUGAAAUACGAACAGAUACAUUUACUUAUUAUUUCACUGGAGUCUGUAAAGCCAUCUUGGUAGACUUCUAAGAACUGAGAGAGUGAAAGAAUCUAAUUUAUGUGUAAAAACAGUUUGGCAAAUCAGGUAGUUUCUAAUUCUUGGCUUCAACGAAAUUUAAGAACUCUACACUUGAGUUGUGGGAUUAUUAAAAUAGAACUAUAAAAAUAGUUUUUAAUAAUAGCUUACUAUGUGAUUUUUUUUGGCAUGUAAAUAAGAAAAUUUAAAAAUUCGGUGGCUAAAACAAAGUCCUACUAUAACAAAAUUCUAUUUCUAUACUUACCUUGUUCUCAUAUAGGUGGACAAGAUUCUCUAGUUCUUUCAUGUUAAAUUUUUUUUUUUUGAGAGGGCAUCUCUCAUAUUUAUUGAUCAAAUGGUUGUUAACAACAAUAAAAUUCUGUAUAGGGAAGUCAAUGC